CAAGAGCUUAUUUCACUCCCUAACUA
rnacentral:tRNA from 38 species